UACAGAGGGUGCAAGCGUUGUUCGGAAUUACUGGGCGUAAAGGGCGUGUAGGCGGCUUGGUAAGUCAGAUGUGAAAGCCCGGGGCUUAACCUCGGAAGUGCAUUUGAAACUGCUAGGCUAGAGUGAGGUAGAGGUUGGUGGAAUUCCCAGUGUAGAGGUGAAAUUCGUAGAUAUUGGGAGGAACACCGGUGGCGAAGGCGGCCAACUGGGCCUUAACUGACGCUGAGGCGCGAAAGCGUGGGGAGCAAACAGG
rnacentral:rRNA from 1 species